UACCUACGGGACGCAGCAGUGAGGAAUAUUGGUCAAUGGGAGAGAUCCUGAACCAGCCAAGCCGCGUGAGGGAAGACGGCCCUAUGGGUUGUAAACCUCUUUUGUCGGAGAACAAAACCCGGGACGUGUCCCGGACUGCGUGUAUCCGAAGCAAAAGCAUCGGCUAACUCCGUGCCCGCAGCCGCGGUAAUACGGAGGAUGCGAGCGUUAUCCGGAUUUAUUGGGUUUAAAGGGUGAGUAGGCGGUCCGUUAAGUCAGCGGUAAAAUUGCGAGGCUCACCCCCUUCGA
rnacentral:rRNA from 1 species